rnacentral:lncRNA from 1 species
GCACACACAGGCUAAUAGGAACCACUUGAGUAGUGACAGUGAUUAGCAGCAAGUACUAGACUGUGGUUGGGACAGCACAUCAAGGGCAUGGGUCCCUUGAACCUGAAUCUCUACCUUUAUGCCAGGGCAAAGUCAUUUAAAUACAAAAAGGAAAAUAGUUUAUAUUAGCACCAUUCACUGUGAAGGAUCUACAGACCGUCACACGCGGGAGCAGGCUCUUUGCAGAGGAAGGACUUUGGGAAUCAGAAGCUCUGGGAGAGACGGCGGAAUAAAGAAGGGAGGGAGAGCGGCAGCGAGACCCAGAGAACGCAACAGACACACUUACAAUAUGAAAUUCAUCCUGCCUGGUUACUUGCUGUCCCUUUUCCCCGUUCUGGUUCUCAGCACCAGACAGGGCUACGAAGAACUGGAAAGACAACUUAAAGAAGUCUUUAAGGAAAGGAGCAACAUUCUUCGCCAGCUGUCAAAGACAUCCAGAGAACUUGAAGGAAUUAAAGUAAACCUCCAGUCUUUGAAAAACGAUGAGGCAUCUGCUAAAACCGACGUACAGAAACUCUUGGAAUUAGGCCAAAAACAAAGGGAAGAAAUGAAAUCGCUCCAGGAGGCCUUUCAAAAACAGCUUAAUGAGGCAAUUAACUUUUUGAAGACUGAAAUGGAAAGGAAGAGCAAAAUGAUCAGGGAUCUUCAAAAUGAGAACAAAAGCCUGAAAAAUAAACUCCUUUCUGGAAGCAAGCUUUGCGGCAUUCAUGCUGAAGAGUCAAAAAAGAUCCAAGCCCAACUGAAGGAGCUUCGCUAUGGGAAAAAGGAUUUGAUUUUUAAGGCACAGCAGCUUACAGACUUGGAACAAAAACUAGCAAUUGCAAAAGAAGAAUUGGAGAAAGCAGCUCUUGACAAAGAGUCACAGCUGAAGGCUCUGAAGGAGACCGUACAACUCUGCCUGUCUUCAGUUUUGCACAAUCAGCCUCCCACUACAAAUGUAAUCCCUUCAAGACCGACUGAGAGACAGACAUCCCCAGUUACAAAUGGUUCAAAAAUUCCAUUUCAAGUGACAAGCACCAAGGUAUCUUUUUUCUUCUUUUUUAAAAAUGAGAAGCUUACUGAUAUAAUUCCUAUUCCUGCAAAGGCCAGUUGCCACUAA